rnacentral:lncRNA from 1 species
CACGUGGAGCAGGAGCCUUGCCCUGCCUACCACAGAAGCAUGAGAAAUCGUCAGACCAUCCUCAUUGUAAGCCACCAAGUUCUGGGGUGUUUUGAGAUAUAACAAAGGAUAACAGAAAUCGAUCCGUCUGCUCUGUUUCUGUCUGAAACCCUCAGUUUUGACCGCAGCGUCUGCAAGGAUGUACAGGCACAUUGAAUACCAGAAGGAAAACUGGCUUCUUCUGAGCCAACCACGGACAUCCAGUGAGUCCUUUUCUCACCAAGUUUUAUAUUUUCUUGACAAGUUUGGUUUUAUAUUGAGUAUGAAAACUCCAGAGUGCCCCUCUGCCUCUCAGCUCCUUCUGCCUCCUCACCCCAACAUCCUGGGGUCUUUUUAACCCUGCCCUCCCCGGGGAUCCUGGCUCAAUUUUGGAGAAAAUGUGCAGAGCCUAUGAGUUUCUGACUCUCUUCUAGAAUAUUCUUAGCCUUGUGUCCUAAGCAGAGGUUUUACACCUUACAGAUUUUUCAGAGGCCGCAAGACACGUGAACCAUGCUCUUGCCGAUACCAGCCCCUUCCGUGACUAAUGCACAGUCGUACGGGAAGAGUCUUUCUCCUUCUCUCUUACAGGGGAGGCGGGGGGGUGGGGACCGGGGUGGUUGUGGGGGGGCGGGGGGGGGGCGGCUGGCUGGUCAGAGCGGGGCACACCGUGACCAUGAACUCGCCUGGCAAAUAGGUUUUGCAGAUGCUCAGGAUGAUCAGAGAGAAAAGAGGGAACAAAAGAGCCCCAGGCUCCGAAGCCGAGGCGUCUGCGGAACGCGGGGCUGAGGGCCAAGGGUUUGCCCUCUUGCCCUGUUUUCCAGGAGCGAUGGCCCCAAGCCACAAGGGAGGGCGAAUGCCUGCAUCCACGAGUGAAAGAAACCAGUAUUGAUUCACCCCGGCUCAGUCCCAGGGUCUGUGCCAGAUGCUUUCACUAAUACCAACUUCUUUAAUUUUCAUAAUAAGCCGGUAAAAUAAGUGUUCUUAUUCCUAAGCUCUCACUUGGCAAACACACACACAGCGCUUACGAUGUGCAAGGCUCUCUGCCAAGCCCUGGAUACAAAGAUGAAAUUACCCCUCUGUGCCCCAGCCUCCUCAUCUAUAAAAUGGACAUAAUCUAGAACAAUUAGAAAGCAGGGCCGCCUCCGUGUCAUGUGAACCCUCGCUGGCUGCUUGGAGGAGGGGCGAGCCCCACACAUAAGCAGCCAGCCCAUUGGCCAGGGGCUCGUGAUGCGGCCAGUGCCCAAAGAUGAGCUGAGCCGGUCAGAUCCCCUCUACAAACUGGGAAGUGCAGAGAAGAGGGCUGUAGCAGAAACAGAAGCAGUAAUGUAUUUACACGUGCCCGCUAAGCUUAGAACGGUAUAUAGAGGCUUCAAUUUCCUACCUUUGAAAGGUACAUCAUUUUGACUAAUUAAGCCACACCUAUGUAUCCAGUGCCAUUCAGUCCUCAAUGCCAUGUCCACAUCCCACAUCCCACCACACCUGUGAGCCAAAAGGAGCGAGGAUGCUCACCUCCUUUUACAGAUGAGAAAGCAGGUUCACAGAGCAAAGUGACUAGAGGUGAUCCCAGAGCCAGCCGGGAGGGAAGCUGGCCUGAGAGGCGAGCCUGGCUCUGGAGCUAAGCUCUUCCAGUUUCAGCUGGCUCACCAGGCGUGCAAGAGAAAAUC